ACAGAAGACCGGAAAAAAAAACUAAAAUGACGGGACCAUGACAACAUGUUUGUUGUCAUCCAUCUUUCUUGGACUCAAGAACAAGAUAUCACACCUGAAACCGUCUCUGCAGUUGACGAGACCGUAACAGAUUCAAAAGAUGUUUCUUUAAAAUAAAACACAUCUCAGUCGUGAUGUGUUGAAACGUUGAACUGUUGAAAAACUCGUGUAUGUCCUGCGUUGCAUGCCAUCAGCAGAUUCACACUUUUGGAGCCACACCAGCGGAUGGGAUGACGUUUUAAGUGUAUGUGGUGUUUAUCUGAUGGAUGACCCACAAUCAAGCAAAGCUGGCGUCGCCGUGCAGUGUAAUUGAGAGGAUAGUGUCACAGUGCUCUCCUGCCAACAGCGAGCAUACUGUUGAUUUGUUAGUGGAGCUCGCUGACAGGCAAAAUAGUUGGUGUUCUGCCACACUUGGCUCUUGGCAACAGACUCGCUGUCAUUUGCAUUUAAGGCUGUUUUUUUUUUUUCUGCGGAGACAAGUUCAUUUGUGAAACUCUGUAAACAGAAUGACAGUGAGUGUGUGUGGCGGCGUCGGGACUGUGUGUUUGCUCACAGAGGUGCAGAAGGUUGGUGUCCAUCAGGGAGGAGACUGAUCUGUAUUCAUGUGACACAAACACAGGUGUCCACAGCUGAUGGCAUUUUUUUUUUUUAAGUGAAACCCAACUUAUUACAAGACCUUGACGCUUCUCCUCGUAGCCACUCAAGACUUUUUUUCUGUUUUGACAUCCGCUCGGAAGAGUUCAAGGUUUGUUGAGACCAAUCAAGAAGCAGCUGUUAAAGCAUGAAAACAUCAUGUUGAGGCUGGAAAUCGUCCUGACGUCUCGUCAAAAACCUCCUGCAGUUUCACAACCUGAAAAAUCUAACAAUGUAGGACACGAGGAUAAAUACCAAUCAAUACUGCCAUUCGUAGAGCUUCACUGCCGGACGCAGCAUCCAGGAAGCAAGUUCUGCUUCACUGCAGACGCUGUGGAUAAGAUUGUCCCAGCUGAGCUGUGGCGCACCUGGAACUUUUCUGAAGGCAAAACUAACUGAAGCAAGAAAAGAAUAACACCUUCAACACUAAGAAACAGGACUGCCCUUUUUGUCCUUUCCCCUCGCCAGGCUGCCAUUCUCCACGGCUGGAUCAUCACAGACUCGCUAACAAACAGCGGAUAGAAGUUGAGCAGUCUGACGCCACGGUCACGGACGUGGAUCAGAAAAUGGACGUGGCGCCCAUCAAACUGAGCCAGAUGUGAGUGGCCACAUUUUCCCCUCAGCUCCCGACGGGCCUCAGACUAAAGUCUGCCUUGUGUUUUCUUCUGGCCUGGCAGCUUGUCAUCGGAGGCCGACAUCAAAGUGGAUAAAUCCUGAACAUAAAGGAGGCGGAUGAUCCGGUCAACGAGGGCUUUUUCCCACCAAAAUUAGCCUCUGUCCCAACACGGUCGAUUUGUCGCCCGACCUCCUCUGGGGUGGUAUCGCCUUUUUAAAUUCAAGGCACAGCUAUUUUUUUUUUUUUUUUUUUGUAUAUUUGCGAAUGCAGCUCUGAAUAAAACAUGUCACUGCUCAGACAUGUUCUCACACAGCCAGAUCCUCUGACUGGUGGAGAAGGACCGUACUUCCAACCACUUCAGUCAGACUCUGCUCGGCAUGAAGUUUAUGAUCAACAUUUUUUAGCUCUGAUCUGAAUACAGGAAGAGUAAACUGCCGUCACUGCGUUCGACUGCUCUAGAGGCGAUCCUUCUUGUUUAAUUGAAGACGGCGAGGACUGAGGUCAUCAUUUUGUUUUAUUUAACAGCCAAAGUCUCCAGUCAGCUCCCUCAGGUUCAGGAUUAAGCUCCCCUCGCAGCAUUUUGGGACGAGAUCUGGGCGCCUUUGCAUUCUUCCCGUGGAAUCAAAUCAUACAGAUGGUACAUUCAUUCUUCAAGGCUGCUGCCUCUCCUUAAAAAAUCAGCUCUGUCUAAAGAACAGUUGCCAUACCAACAGUGCAUUUCAUAAACCAGCCUUCAGUGUGAAAAAGCUGAUAAGUGACUACAACAACCAAGACAAGAUGGUGUUUGUUUGAAAAAAACAUGUAAUAGACUACGAGGUAUGUCAUGUUCAUCGGAGGGCAAACAGGUCUGUAAUACUCUCACUGCUGUUUUGUUUCUGCAAAGAAGCAAAGCUAUGUAAUCAAUGAAGCACUUAAGAGCACAAUCACAUGGCUCUCUUUCCAUUGUGUGUUCACAAGGAUGGAGAUGUAAUUGACAUAAAUACUCUGAAAGUGGCAGCUGGGAUGUCUUUUGCCCUCCAUGCAGUGAGAAUGUCGUGUGAUCGCUGCAUGCUCACACUGUCGUCAGUAAACAUCAGAGGAGCUAACUUCCUACAUCACGUUUAUUUUAGGAAUGAAUCCAACAAACUGGAUAUCAGACGACAAGUUAAUAUCAGUGGAAGCUGCUGAUGAGCACGUGAGACAAAAAAGUUUUCUAGCUUCCAGUUUGUUCUUUCUGCAUCACGUGUCCCGCUCCACCUACACCCGCCUCCUCAGUCCUGGACGGCUCAUAAACUUUCCACUGGAGCAGCACUGACACAUUCACAACACACAACUUUAAUGAUUUAAAAAAUAAUAAUUACAAACAAUAUUUAUUCCUCCAGAUGAUUUUGCAACCAACUCACUCCUCAAGAGCUGGCCAGGCUCAGCCCCACCAAUCACAUGUUUUACCGCUAAAAGAUUAUUUUCAACAAUAUUUAAAUGGCGUGAGUGUGUCGGUUUUCACAUCACUUAUUUGAUUUAUUGUUAAGAUAAAAAUUCUGAC